CGGGUGAGUAACGCGUGAGAAUCUGCCUUCAGGUUCGGGACAACCACUGGAAACGGUGGCUAAUACCGAAUGUGCAGCAAUGUGAAAUAUUUAUAGCCUGGAGAUGAGCUCGCGUCUGAUUAGCUAGUAGGUGUGGUAAGAGCGCACCUAGGCGACGAUCAGUAGCUGGUCUGAGAGGAUGAUCAGCCACACUGGGACUGAGACACGGCCCAGACUCCUACGGGAGGCAGCAGUGGGGAAUUUUCCGCAAUGGGCGAAAGCCUGACGGAGCAAUACCGCGUGAGGGAGGAAGGCUCUUGGGUUGUAAACCUCUUUUCUCAGGGAAGAAAAAAAUGACGGUACCUGAGGAAUAAGCAUCGGCUAACUCCGUGCCAGCAGCCGCGGUAAUACGGAGGAUGCAAGCGUUAUCCGGAAUGAUUGGGCGUAAAGCGUCCGCAGGUGGCUAUGUAAGUCUGCUGUUAAAGAAUCUGGCUCAACCAGAUAAAGGCAGUGGAAACUACAUGGCUAGAGUGCGUUCGGGGCAGAGGGAAUUCCUGGUGUAGCGGUGAAAUGCGUAGAGAUCAGGAAGAACACCGGUGGCGAAAGCGCUCUGCUAGGCCGCAACUGACACUGAGGGACGAAAGCUAGGGGAGCGAAUGGGAUUAGAUACCCCAGUAGUCCUAGC
rnacentral:rRNA from 1 species